CGACGGGGGUACCUUCAGUACUGCAGUCGAGCGGACAGAAGGGAGCUUGCUCCCGGAUGUUAGCGGCGGACGGGUGAGUAACACGUGGGUAACCUGCCUGUAAGACUGGGAUAACUCCGGGAAACCGGAGCUAAUACCGGAUAGUUCCUUGAACCGCAUGGUUCAAGGAUGAAAGACGGUUUCGGCUGUCACUUACAGAUGGACCCGCGGCGCAUUAGCUAGUUGGUGAGGUAACGGCUCACCAAGGCGACGAUGCGUAGCCGACCUGAGAGGGUGAUCGGCCACACUGGGACUGAGACACGGCCCAGACUCCUACGGGAGGCAGCAGUAGGGAAUCUUCCGCAAUGGACGAAAGUCUGACGGAGCAACGCCGCGUGAGUGAUGAAGGUUUUCGGAUCGUAAAGCUCUGUUGUUAGGGAAGAACAAGUGCAAGAGUAACUGCUUGCACCUUGACGGUACCUAACCAGAAAGCCACGGCUAACUACGUGCCAGCAGCCGCGGUAAUACGUAGGUGGCAAGCGUUGUCCGGAAUUAUUGGGCGUAAAGGGCUCGCAGGCGGUUUCUUAAGUCUGAUGUGAAAGCCCCCGGCUCAACCGGGGAGGGUCAUUGGAAACUGGGAAACUUGAGUGCAGAAGAGGAGAGUGGAAUUCCACGUGUAGCGGUGAAAUGCGUAGAGAUGUGGAGGAACACCAGUGGCGAAGGCGACUCUCUGGUCUGUAACUGACGCUGAGGAGCGAAAGCGUGGGGAGCGAACAGGAUUAGAUACCCUGGUAGUCCACGCCGUAAACGAUGAGUGCUAA
rnacentral:rRNA from 1 species